ensembl:lncRNA
CAUGAAUCAAUAUUUCUGUGUAUUAAUUUUACAAUAUGUCUUUAAUCAUCACAUACUUAACAAAUAUUUUUUGCCAGAUUAGGUCUUUAAAUAGUAGAUGGACUGCCAUAUAUGUAGUAAUGUAGCAACAUAAUAUAUUGGAAAUGUGUUAAUUACUUUGUUUCAUUUCAGGUCCAAAAAAACUUUCUGCCUUGGGCUAUAUGCCCAUAUUAUUUAUCAGCCAGAGGCACAAGGGCACAGGCAAGUUGAUGGCAGAUGUAGUCACGCAUCUGCCACCGACGCAAAACAACACACGUUUCUUAACCAGCAUGAAGAGGGCAUAUGACUUCAUAAUCAAACUGGAUGGUAAGAUAAGUUUUAUGUAUAGUUCAUUAGUGGUUGUCGUUGAUUUCUUUGACAAUGUGUACUGAAUUUAUAUUUUUGCUAACUUCACAACAGAUGUGCCCCAGCCCCAGCAAGACCAGCCCCUCCACCUAGACCAACCCCUACCCCAAGACCAGCCCCUGCCCCUAGACCAGCUAAUCCCACAAGACCAGCCCCCCAGACCAGCCCCUGCCCCUAGACCAGCCCCAGCAAGACCAGCCCCUGCCCCUAGACCAGCUAAUCCCACAAGAUCAGCCCCUAGACCAGCCCCAGAAAGACCAGCCCCUGUCCCUAGACCAGCUAAUCCCACAAGACCAGCCCCAGCAAGACCAGCCCCUGCCCCUAGACCAGCUAAUCCCACAAGACCAGCCUACCCCAACAGACCAGCAAAUUAUUAAACUUGAACUAUUUACGAUCGACUCACAGGCUCAGCAGCAUGUGGAGCCUCUACCACCCAGGAAAAGACAAACCCCACUAUCCACCCCGGGCCUACCAUCCACCCCAGGCCAAGGCAAACGAGCCCCACCAUCCAUCCAACCUCAACUAAAGAAAAGACAAACCACAGGUAAAGGAGCCACACAAGCCCCACCCUCUACCCUGGCCAAAAAAAGAAGAAAAACAAAAAAAGCAAGUAGACAUUCUUUUGCACCCCAUGUGUAUAUUUGUUUCUAUUCUUUGCACCCCAU